GCCGGCCGUUCCGAUGGAGCCGGCCGUUCCGAUGAGGCGCCGGGCGGCGUGUGCGCCGUCAGUUAGCGCACCGCUCACGGUCGGCUCUCCCGCCGAGGUGCGGACGCUUAUGAUCAGACAGUGUGUCGGCAGCCCGCCGGAAGGACGCUCGGACUCCACUCGCCGACUGGGACCAGUUUACCGUCCCACGGAGGCCGGGCCGCGGCAGCCAUGCCCUGGGGCCGUCUGGCGGGUCACGUGAGGAGGGUAGCCCGCGGCGGUCGGGAGGCAGACGAGCCGCCGCAUCUGGGGAGCGUCCAAAGGACAACUGCCAAUGGCAUGUGGGCACAGCCCAUACAGCUUCCCCUGGAGUCGGGUCCGGGGCCGGUCCCGGUGCCUAUGCUCAGCCCUUCGGUGGCCACCGUGGUCAGGAAAUGGCGCACCCGGGUCCGCCUGAGCGCCCCCAAGAGCGCCGCCG